rnacentral:pre_miRNA from 1 species
AGCUUUUUAAUCCCGUGCUGAGAUUUCGUCAGACACCAACCCUUUAGAGCUGAUCAGACUUCCAAGAUAAGUGAAGUU